rnacentral:tRNA from 1 species
GCCGCUUUAGCUCAGGUUGGCAGAGCACCGGAUUUGUAAUCCGGGGGCCGUGGGUUCAAGCCCCGCAAGCGGCACCA